UUUUUGUUGUGAUUUGAUAUGUUACAACCUGUAUUAUGAAUAUGAUAAAUUAUUAGAAAAAUAAAUAUAUCAAGAUCUAUUUUGGAUAAUUAACUAAUUAUUAAAAUAAAAUAAAAACCUCUCCACUUAGACCCCGCCUAAUUUCUUAGAAGAAUUUUUUUGACGUUUUGGGCCUAGGUGAGGCGUCAGGCAAGGAGGCUUGGCACCUAGACAAGGCACCAAGAGGGCCUAGUACCUAGGCGGGGUGCCAAGAGGGGGCCUAGCACCUAGGUGGGGGGCCAAGAGGGGGCCUAGCGCCUAGGCGGGACCUAAGCAAACCUAGGCGGGGAUUUUUAGAACACUGCCCAACAACUUAUCAAAGAAAAAAUAACUCACAGGCCACCACCGCUGAGCAUCGCAUCACCGACAUAAUAGGAAAACAUACACCCAACAGCAACCAUUAUCAUAUAGCAUUUUCUUUCGUAAGUUGUUCACAUUAAUAUCAUUUUUGUACUAGUCAUUGAGAAGUUGAUACUAAUAAACCUUAAUGAUAUCAUGCUUACUAAUUGUGCAAGACGAGCAAUGCAUGAGUUCUACAUUUCAUUAAAAAAUUCUUUUGAUAAGUAACUACAUUUCAUAAUAUAAUUCCCAGUUGCAAAAGAUUAAUUACCUUUUUUAAUAAGUUCAAUUAUUCACUUAUUAUUAGUUUACUAGCUCUGUCCCAAAUCAAGGAAAUGAUUUUCUACCCUGGAUUGCCCCAAAAUAAGUGAGCUGAUACUAUUCAAACCCUUCUCUCUCGAUCCGAGGGUUAAAAUUUGUAUAGUAAUCAGUAUCCUCCUUAAAACCCAGCCAAACCAAAUAACUAGUUUGGGGCACAGGUAGUAGAACUUUCAAUGUUGUUGACUGUCUAUUUUUAUGAGAAAUUUUCUUCUAAACUUCUGGUUGUCAACUAUAAAACUGAACUUCUAAAUCGUUUAUCAAAAAUAACAAAGAAAAUUGCAUACACGUCCAGAAACAAAUGCUAUGCACACCAAUUUAGAUAUUUCCUUAGUAGGAUAAACCACAGUUGUUAAUUAAACUCAUUAACAAUCAUAGAAAAUCUAAACUUGUAAAACUAUUAAGAGUUGAUGUGUUCUUCUAAAAUUUGAGAGAAUUAGUUCAAGAAAAUUACCUUUGUUAUUUGCACGUGCACACACCUUACAACCCGCAUCUGCCACACCACAACAAAGAUGGUGGCUUCAUCCUCUACUUUAAUUUGAAUUUAAAAAUACGAUACAAAAAACAUCCAUCCACGAUGUUAAGUUUGUUUGCUUUUAACUUUUUAAGUAAAUCUAAGGAGAUAUCAAAUACUUAAGUCUUAACCUGUUAUCAACAAGGUAUGAUGUGGGGAUCAACAAAACAGUAUGAUUGGGCCCCGGAAGGGGGGGGGUGUUACCUGUUAUCAACAAGGUAUGACGAGGGAAUACCUGAUUAGCCUCUUGAAAGGUUCUUGUAUGGACGGAUUCAGUUCCCCACUGGGUUUAAGGUGUCUCCAUAAUUAAUAGAGAGGCAUUGAUAGGGAAUCUCAGUUCAUAUAAAAUGUGAUUUGGAAGAAGAAAGAAAUACUUAAUAACUCUUACAAGUUUAAGUCUCAGAAAGAAACUAAGUUAAGAAACAAUCAAGCCUACAAAGUAUAGCAUCCAAUAACAAUUUACUGACAUGGAGCCACCAAGAGAUCAUAUUUAGAUGAUGGUAGACCAAACUAUAAACUACUCAUUUUUGCAUAGGAAUAAAACUGGAGAAUUCAGUCACAGUUUAGUGUUUAACAUAUUAAUACCAUAGCCAAAUUAUAGUGAAGGAUCAUAAACCUUUGCAGUUCUGCACAGAUUUUAAUGGUUAAAUAAAAUCAGGACACAAUUUCAAAUACAUAUAAAGUUCCACAAAUAUUUAUCACAUAUAAUACCCAUCAUCUAACUCCACUAGUUUCUUCUUCUUUUUCCUGAUUUUUCAGUGUUCAAAAAAACGGGCUGGG
rnacentral:lncRNA from 1 species